rnacentral:lncRNA from 1 species
UCUGUGUCUGUCAAACAGAGGCAGUUUGUGCCAACACACACACACACACACACACACACACACACACACACACACACACUUUCUCCAUCUGUCUGCUCUUAUGUACAACUCCUUGAAACGAUCCAGCCAUCUGAGACUUUGAAGAAGAAAUCAUGUUUGAAUAAGGUUCAGAGAAUUUUAACAAUUACUUGAAGCAUUCCUGAUUAAUUCACGCACUCGUCCUGUAAAGUUCAGAGUACAAUCCUGUGCAACUAACAUGACCAGAAGAUUUCAAUGAGAAGCUCCAGACCGAACACUCGCAGACAACUGCUGAAGUUCACUCGAUGAAUAACGCUGUUUAGGAGUUUCAUCAGAUUCAGAAAGUGGUUUAUCAACCCUAGACGACUCUCCUCACACACACUGUGAAUGUUAUUAUACACAGCUUCUCAUUAUAGUUAUGCAGUUACAGUGUUGGCGAGUAACUAAUUAAAUAUAAUGGAAACAAAAUAAAUGUAACUGUAAUCAGUUACAGUUACUGAGAAAAAUGCACAAAUGUUAAUAUAGAUAAACAAAAACUACACCAAGAAGACCAUCAAUAGGCACUCAUAUGAACUCUUCUUGAUUUAGACUCCAAAAAGAUACAAUUCCCGCACUAUAAGAACAAUCACUUGAUAAUGUUCUGUGUUUUGUCUGUCAUCAGUUGAUCUGGAGAUCAUGGCCCGUGUUAGGAGACAGCGCUGAAGCGAUCAUCAGCGUUACUGAGAAUCACUGGAGCUUCAGGACGAGACGCAGAUGUGUUUGCAGAAGCGCUGAGACUGUGUCUAAGAGCCAGACGGGAAAACUCUCGACUGACCCAUCACUCUCCAAAGCCUCCUCAAGUCAUCUUCAGCGAGUCUCAUAUAGAUCAGCAGAACUUCAUCGGUUCACCUGAGAGACACGCUGGAAUCAUUUCACAGAGCCAAACAUCCCUUCUGUCUUCUCUUCUUCAUACUAGAUCCAGAACUCUAUACAGACUUACUUGAAGGGCACCUAUUACACAAAAUUCACUUUUACAUGUUGUUUGAACAUAAAUGUGUGUUGGCUGUGUGUGAACACAACCACCUUAUAAUGAUAAAAAUCCUUGUUUUUUUAAUCCCCAUAAAUUAUAAGCAGUAUCUCAGAGCAAACCAAUCACAGAAUCCAUAAAAUGUGACAAGCCCAUAGAAUGUUUAACAAGCCCUGCCCACGACGUUGAUGGACACUGCUGUAUUAUCAGAGACCCUGCCCUAAGUAAGAAAUGUCUUCUUAUUAAAGCUAUAGAUAUUAUUCAGUCCGGAGGAGUGAGUGAUUUUCUGCUUUUAUUGUUUGGCUCAUAUGAAUAGCAUAUACAGCAGUACAGCUACUGUAUGCAAGCAGCAACCUCCCGCUCUCUCUCGUGAAACCAACAAGGAAGUGACUAAAACUGUAAUUCAUCGACUGGCCGCUUGAGGCUGGCUGCAAAAGGGAGUCAAUCCCAUAGACUACCCAUGUUAUAAUGCCCAACUUUACAGCAGCUUGAAGUUGACUCGAGUGCAUAU